CGCGUAGGCGGCUAUUCAAGUCGCAAGUGAAAUACCAGGGCUUAACCUUGGGGGGUCUUGCGAAACUGAGUGGCUUGAGUGCAGUAGAGGUAAGCGGAAUUCCUGGUGUAGCGGUAAAAUGCGUAGAGAUCAGGAGGAACACCGGUGGCGAAGGCGGCUUACUGGGCUGCAACUGACGCUGAGGCGCGAAAGCGUGGGGAGCAAACAGGAUUAGAUACCCUGGUAGUCCACGCGGUAAACGAUGAUUACUAGGUGUGGGUAUCGCAGGGUAUCCGUGCCGGAGCAAACGCAAUAAGUAAUCCGCCUGGGGAGUACGGCCGCAAGGUUGA
rnacentral:rRNA from 1 species